rnacentral:misc_RNA from 1 species
AAUACAUUAUACAUUCUCCACCCAAAAACACAAAAUUUGAAAAAGAAGAGACCACCUGAUAGAAACAAAAAAAAGGAAGAAAAAAAAAUAUAGCAAUGUUUGUACAUGUUCUACAAAGUUUCUAAGUGGGGAACAGGUAUGAGGUGAAAAGGGAAAAAAGAAAACAUCUCUAACCAAAGCCCCUUGAAAAGGGAAAAAAGAAAAAAAAUAAUUCUUAGUAUAUAAACUCUAGGCCUUUUGGCUUAUAAUCA